rnacentral:lncRNA from 10 species
AGGUUCCAGAGGAGGAAGGAGGCUGGAAGAGAUGGGAUACUUCAUGGAGGUGGUAGAACAGGUCCUGGACAACAGGAGGGUGCCUUGGGACUGGACAUAAACUCUAUCAUUUGCCUGAAGCCUUUUAGGUCAUAACAUUGUUGACAUUGGAGCCAAGUUUUACUAAUUAAUAGCUCCAGGCAUGUGUGGUUUACUCCACCAUGGUCUUCUCAUCCUCUCUCCCCAUCCUAGGGAAAAGCUUUUCUUUCUUCCAGGUGUUACAACCUUUUCUCUGAAGCAGACCAAGAGAGACUCUUUUUUUUUUUAGACAGAGUUUCACUCUUGUCGCCCACGCUAGAGUGCAAUGGCACAAUCUCGGCUCGCUGCAACCUCCGCCUCCCAGGCUCGAGUGAUUCUCCUGCCUCAGCCUCCCGAGUAGCUGGGAUUACAGGCAUGCGCCACUGCACCUGGCUAUUCUUGAACUUUUAGUAGAGACACGGUUUCACCAUGUUGGCCAGGCUGGUCUCGAACUCCUGACCUCAUGUGAUCCACCUGCCUAGGCCACCCAAAGUGAUGGGAUUACAGGGGUGAGCCACCGCGCCCGGUCAGAGAAACUCUUAAGACUAUUAAUGGAAUUUAUCCUUCUGAUAAGAAAACUGAGACACAGAAAGGUCUCAGGAAGAAAAAAGACAAGGUGGAAUUCGGAUCCAGGCAGUAUGGAUUUAGGGUCUGUUCUCUCAAUUACCAUAUCAUAAUGUGUCUCUUAAAAAACUUUAAAAUGUGAAUGCUGUAUGCAAUGUUAACAAUGAUGUCGAUGAUAGCACAGAAGGCAGCUACUCUCACCUACUGCAGGUAAGAAUGUAAAUUGAACAAUUUCUCAGGGUCAAUUAGACACGACUUAAUGAAAAGCCAGAGAAUUCUGUAUGAAUAUUUGACCCAGCAAUUCCACUUGUUUUUUAUGGUAUCAAUUUAAAAUGGAUCUUUAUGCAUUGACACAUGAAUUUUAUAUACCUUUAAAAAAUUACACGAAGUUGGUGGCAAUCAGAAUGUGGGUGCCGGAUUCAUUUUUGCUUAUUUACAGCACUGCCAGCAUGUACUAAAGUAUUCAAAAUAUGACCAAAUUUAAGCAACCUCAGAUAAUGGUUGCUGUUUCUCCCCUCCCUAACAAACCAUUUUCUGUUCUUGGGUACACAAUUGGACUACAUAUCCCAGCCUUCUUGCAGUUAGAUCACAUGACUGAGUUCUAGUAAUGAAUACAAUUUCUGGGACAGAGCUUUAAAGAAGGAGGUGUUCCACCUCCAAGCUCUCAUUUUUCUUUCACUGACUGGAGGCAGAUGAUGAAUUUGAAGCCCUGACAAAGAGAAGGCAAAAUCAGUUUGUGUCCCUGAGUUGCUAAGUGGAGAAGAAACGUCCACCAACCAGGAAACACCUGCCUCCAACUGUUAAGUGAGCAAGAAAUAAACUUCUGUUGUGUUUGAGCUAUUACACAUUUUCUGAUCUAUUUGUCUACAGGUUAAUUUAUGUUUAAAUAUGUUUUAAACUGCCACUGAACUGACUUAGUCACAUAUUUAAACUUUGCAGUAGGUCUGUGAAAUGUGCUUUGUUUCUGGUCAGCAUGGACACCCGCUUUAAUAGUGGCUUCAGAUGAGGCACCUUGUGACAGAGGAGCUCUUCCCCUGCAGCAACCUUGAAGAUGUUGUGGAAGACAAUAGCCAUUCUUACUUCACUCUGAGGAUCACGAUGGCGUGCAAGGGUGUGCCAAGCACAUUGCUAUCUUUGGCCAUUCUCUCUCACAUUAGUACACCUGGAUGUGAAUGGCACGUUAUCUAUGUAAGCAGUGAUGGUCUCUAUCUGGUGGUAGAAAUGACAGAAUUACACACAAUCAGGACAGCUGAGAUUCCAUUUACUAGCUCAGUAAUCAGAGAAUAUGUAUGACAUCCCAGCAAAAAAUGUUGAACAUGUUCAGAUUUCAUCAUAUCAGCACCACAGUAUCAGUCUUACUGGGAGGUGCUCGCAUUCAGUUCCUGGCUACUGAAGAAAUUUUGCAGGAGUUCCAGAUAACUUACUUGUCCCAUAAUAAUGAAAACUAUUACAAUUAUGCUAAAGAAGAAUACUUAAUAACACAGUAAAAAUGUUUAUGAUGUCUUUUAAUUUCUAAAGCAUGUUAUAAAAGUAUUACAGUAUGAUCUCAUAUUUGUAAGUAAAAUAUAUAUUAAUUCAUUUAGCAAAUAAAUAUUAAGCCCCUACUAUGCACAUACCAAUAUAGAUAUUGGUAUUUGUGUGGGUGUGUGUUACAGCAGAUUUUAAUUUUCUUAUUUUGUAUUUUCUGAUUUAUCUACAAUGAAUUUGUAUUAAUUUGCUAACAAAACAUCACUAUUAAAAUAAAUUUUUUUUGAAUUAUAAGAAAAGGCUAACAUCAUAACAAUAAGGUUGUAUAGAAUAAACUGACAACACAGAAGUUAUUUUGGCCCUGUGUUCCACAGUGACUCACCAAAUAUACCCUGCACUGUUUAUUUUAUUUUUUUCUAUUUCACUAUUGAAAUGAACAGAUGCAUUUCACGUCACAUGGAUCUCGUGGAAACAUGCCAAACAUUUUCUUAGCAACCAAACUCCUGUCUUCUGCACUGUGCAUGAUUAACUAAAACAGCCUGUUGACGGCUUAAAAUAAACCUGCCUUUUCCAUUUAGCAUUUUAUCAAAUGAAUAUAAUUUCAUUUGCUGAUGAAUUUAGUUCAGCUUCAAGAGAAUUUUUCUUUUCUUCAUGGGGAGGCUGAAGAAUCAGAACUGUCAUACCAAAGAAUGAAAAGCAAGCCUAGGGAGAACAAGACAGUCUGAUGUUUACAUGGGUAAAGUAAAAGUAUCUUUGUCAAUAUUACCAGCACUCUCCCUCACCCUCUGUUUUAUAGGGUGGAAUGUUGAUUUUAGUUCUGCUUUUGCAUUAUGGUGUUUACGUUGCUUGAUUACAAGCAUUAAUUUAAAUGACUGCUGUGGGGAUUACUAUUGUUAUUAUACGUGAGCUCUUGUCUUACUUUUGUUUAUUUCUAGCACUUGAGUAUGCCCUAAAAUUUAAUUAGAUUCAUCUCUUAGGAUAGUAGACCCUUUGCUGGGGUUCAAAAGUAAAGGGACAAAUGGUAUAAUCCGUCAAGGGAGGAGGGAGGUAUAUUAUCAGCAAUGAGGAGAGUCAAUGUUUUCUUAGAGGAUGUGACUCUGCAACUUGGAAUGAAUUGAUAUUCUGUUUGAUGAAUAUAAAAUAUAUCUCUGUGUCUAUAUGUACAUGUAGACACUUUGCAUCCAAAGACUAUAGGGAUAUUUGCUAAAUAAGGAAGAUUUAAAGUUUCUUUAAAGACAGCUUAAAAACAAAGUCAUCUAUGCAGUUAAACCAGCAUGUAUCUACAGAAUCAAUGAGAGGAAGAGGGUUGGACUGAAUAUUAUAUAGUCCAUGCGAUUUCCCCACUAUCUUUUACUUGUGUCCUCAUUUGGAAAUAGUGAAAAACAGCACUAAUGGCAAAUUGCAACACUAUUUAAAUUUCCACCUUAUUUCCCCCAGAGCAAAUUCUUAAAUGUUAAUCAUCAUCAGGCAGUCAAGUAGACACUUUAGCUGCACAUAGUUUUAUAUUUUUCCUGGGGAAUAAAGGCACAACAAAUAUAAAACAUAUUCCUGAUAAAUCCACUCUUUCUGAUUGCUGCUCUGUUUACAUUUUGAGAAAUAAUCUUGAUGUAUUGCCUUUAACAUUAGACAUAAUCAAUAUAAGAUUGAUAGACAUUUUACAUUAAACAUUGUAAAAAUAGCUGCUCCCACAUUUAAUAUUCUUCUGCUACAAGUCUGAAUUCUUCAUUACUUAAGCGAGGUUAUGAUGCUAUUCAGCUACUUUGGAAAAUGUCACUAUCUUCUUCAGGUUUGUUUUUGAAAGUGUAUUAACAUUUUCAAAACCUGAUUUCUAAGUUGAGAAAAAUCCAACUGAAAGAUGUCACAAUGACUAUUUGAGACUAAUCCUACUGACGGCAUUACUUCCUUUAUGGAGGUAAGACUUGAUAACUAGCAUUCUCUCCCACUAGCCUA